CUCAAAGGAAUAGACGGGGACCCGCACAAGUGGUGGAGCAUGUGGUUUAAUUCGAAGAUACGCGAAGAACCUUACCUGGCCUUGACAUUGAUAGAAUCUGGUAGAGAUAUCGGAGUGCCUGCUUGCAGGAGCUUGAAAACAGGUGCUGCACGGCUGUCGUCAGCUCGUGUCGUGAGAUGUUGGGUUAAGUCCCGCAACGAGCGCAACCCUCGUCGUUAGUUGCUAACAGUUCGGCUGAGCACUCUAACGAGACUGCCUUCGCAAGGAGGAGGAAGGUGAGGACGACGUCAAGUCAUCAUGGCCCUUAUGGCCAGGGCUACACACGUGCUACAAUGGGACGUACAGAGAGUUGCGAUACCGCGAGGUGGAGCCAAUCUCAUAAAGCGUCUCUCAGUUCGGAUUGAUCUCUACAACUCGAGAUCAUGGAGCUGGAAUCACUAGUAAUCGUAGAUCAGCUAUGCUACGGUGAAUACGUUCCCGGGUCUUGUACUCACCGCCCGUCACACCACGGGAGUUGAUUUCACCCGAAAUCGGGAAGCCAACCUUCGGGA
rnacentral:rRNA from 1 species